AAGGAUUGGUGUGAGAUUCUCAAACUACAUGAAAAGGAUGGCGUUUAUUUAGCUGAAGUCGCGCAAAUCUUGAUGAGGAAUGUUAAUUAUGAGGUAACUGCACUGAAGAAACAGAUCGUGAAAUGUAAACAGAUUCAGAAGGAUAUGGUGAAGAAGGAGUCUGAGUACAGGAGCGGGGAGGCCGAGUAUCUUGAUAAAUAUAAUGCAGCGUGUCGAUAGAAUGGAGAUCAGGGUAUCAGGGGCAAUAAGAUAUAAUCAGAGCUGUUAUCGUUAGUGAAACAUCUUCCUGCCGAGUUUGAUAGAAUAACAACAGCUACCAGGGACCUCAAAGAA